UACGUAGGGGGGCAAGCGUUGUCCGGAUUUAUUGGGCGUAAAGAGCGUGUAGGCGGCUUGGUAGGUCCGCUGUGAAAACUCGAGGCUCAACCUCGAGAUGUCGGCGGAAACCACUUGGCUAGAGUCCGGAAGAGGAGAGUGGAAUUCCUGGUGUAGCGGUGAAAUGCGCAGAUAUCAGGAAGAACACCUAUGGCGAAGGCAGCUCUCUGGGACGGUACUGACGCUGAGACGCGAAAGCGUGGGGAGCGAACAGGAUUAGAUACCCCGUAGGUCAA
rnacentral:rRNA from 1 species